CUCCCACCUUGAUGAUAAUGGACUGAACAUCUGAACCUGCAUCUCCUCCAUAUAUGCAGAAUCCUUUAGUGUGGCUGGUCAAAUCAACAGAAUGGUCUUGAACCAUGCCAGAGGGAAUAAGACGUCUGGAUGUUUCUGUAAGAAAGACCUUAGAGGAUAGCUCCAGAGUGGAUCAACUCGGCUAUGAAAGUCAGGCCUCUCAUUUCCUGAAGCAUCUCCAGUCACAUCUGGCAGGCUGAGGUGGGUCUCACACACGCUAUUGUCUCGCCAGCAAGAACACACGUGUGAGAAACCGGAUCCUUCUGCAGCAACUAUAUUAUACCAGUUUC